GCCAUAAUGUUUACCUUUCACAAGUAGGGGUGAUUUUAUAGCCAGCUGUGUGGUUUACUGGUGUGAUGUAUAGUAAUAGUACAACAUACGUAUCUUUAUUUGAUAUUGUCAGAAUUGUCAGUUAUUUCCUAGCCUGAGUGUGGCAGCAAUUUUACAUUUCCUCGUUGUUUUUAUUUAAUAGUAACUUUUGAAAAGAUUUCAACACCUAUAGUAAAUGACGAGAGAACAAAGAACUCUAGAAAGAGGGAGAGAGAAGAGAAAGUAGGCAAAUGAAUAAGAGAAGAAAACAGUCGAGUUAAGGGCCAAUAAGCGUAAAGAUUAAGUGAAAAAUCUUGCAUCUGUCUCUAAUGUGACUUUUAGGUAGAAUCUUUCCUUAUUAAAAAUUUGCCAAGAAGGUAUCAGGAUCACCUCUGGCCAGAGACUAAAUCAUCUUUGAUUGACAUCAACAUGACGUACCUGUGCAGGCCCGUGGGUAACAGAGCGGACCCUUCAUUCCAGACCAAGAGGACUGGCCCGGGAGCCUUUGCAUCAUGUGCAUAAGGAUCUGGACAUGGAAAGAGAAGAUAUAGCCUUCCUUCCUCCCUACAAAGUACUUCCUGCUCACUCAUCAUCCUACAAUUGGGAGUUCAUCAUCUUUUUAAAUAAUUCCUUUCUAAUUGCUGUUUAUAGACAUACUAGAGGCCCGAUGCAUGAAAUUCGUGCAAGAGUAGGCCUUCCUUCCCCCAGCUGCUGGCACCAGCUUCCCCUGGCACCCAGGACCCGGCUUCCCUCUGGCUGCUGGCAGACACCCAGGACCCAGGCUUCCCUUGCAGCCCUGGCUUCAUCCUGAAGGUCGUCUGGAAGGUCUUCAGGUCUAAUUAGCAUAUUACACUUUUAUUAUUAUAGAUUUUAUUAUAUAGGAUGCCUUUUGUCACCAUUGAGCUACCACUUACUGAGAGCUUAUUAUGUGCCCGAUCUUUUGCAGAUACCAUUCUGUAAGGCCUCUCUACUCUAUCCACUAGGCAAAUAUCAGUGGACUCUACCUAUUUCUUGUACCUCCCCUUAGUAAUACUUGAAGGACAUGUGUACUUGAGGUCAUUAUAAGCUUAACAAAAGGAUUUGCUGAAAAUAACUGAACUUGCAUUUUAGAAUUAAUAUAUGCAGCAUAAUCGUCUUGAUACGCCAAAGUUGUGGGUUCGAUCCCUGGUCAGAGCACAUAAAAGAAGCAACUAGUGAAUGCAUGAACGGAUGGAGCAAGAGGCUGAUGUUUCUCUUUCACGCUCCCUCUCUAAAAUCAAUAAAUAAAAAUGUAAAAAAUAUAUAUGCAGCAUAAUAGCAUACUUAUUUACAAAUAGUACAUAUUGUGAUUCUAACAGUAACAUCUACUCAUUUCACGGCGGAAUGUAAGGGAAACCCAUAUUCCAGUAUCACUGGAACCAUUUGCCAUAAUAUUUGAAUUCAGAUCAUCUUUUUUUUUUUUUUUUUUUUGUCUUAGUCUACCUCUGGUCCUAUUUCCCUGAUCCAUGCUGCUCCAUUAGAUCUAUUUCAGGAUGAUAAUUUUAACAUCAGAAUGUAUGUGAUUUGCAGAAGGCAUUUCAUUUUUUUCAUUGCAAUUGCUCAAAAUUUAGGUACUAGAGUAUGUUAAAUGACAUGUCAAUUUUCACACAUAAGAUUCCCUCUCCGUGAUCCUUGCCUUUGUAUGUGGAACUCCUCUGUCUGAAAUCCCACCUUAACUUUGCUGUUCGACACACUCCUGUAUGCCUUUCCAGACCCCCUUCAAAUGCGAUGCCCACCCUUCGCUUCCCAGCUAAUCCACGCUUCCCUGAGUUCCCAAUGUCCCUUCUGCAUAGUAGUGACUGGAUCGCAAUGAUUUGCACGUGUUUAUUUCUCACAUGAAGUGUGAGCCUUCUUGAAGAAGGGAGUGUGUUUAUCAUUUCUAUACCGUUAGCCAGCGAGAGUUUCUGGCAUAUAACAGGUGAUCGAGAAAUGACUGGGGAGUUCCUGGGGCAGCUUUUUACCUAAUCACCUGCAUUUCUGUUCUCUAGUUACUUCCACCCUCUUUGCUGUUAACCACGCAUGUGUAAUACAGGAAAUGCUAAGGGUGUGUUUAUGGAACCAUGUCAAUGCUGACGACUUUUACCACAUGUCCCCGAAUGCCUUCUACAAAGAUAUCUUCUGAAAUUAUAGUGGAGAGCUUUUUACAGGGUUUAUCAAUCUGGAUGAAAAGCCCAAUUUGGCUGCUUAAGAGUCGCAUGUUCAUGACUCACGGGAAGGCUCAUAAAAACCCAUGUGAUCCCAGCCAAAGGCAGGAGCAGCAGAAUCCACAACACGCCUUAUUCAGAGCCUCAGGGCUAUUCCUGGAAGCAUGCACAGUCGGCUGGUCAAUACCUCAUCACUUUGAAAAUGUUUACGGCUCUAUGACCAACUGUCAAAAUAGCAGAAUGAGGGCCUGGAACUCUGCCACCCAGAGGUCUGGGUCAUGCAGACAGACUCACAGAAGUAGAAGCGUGGAAGAAAGGCUUGCUUUUGACUUUUGCUUUAUAAGCUCAGGAAAUGGGGCAAAGCCGCCGAAGUCAGGUUCUCUCUGGUUCACUCUCGGCACACCGGGGUUUUGUAGUUCUGCGCGGCCUCACAUGGUUCCAUUGCUUUUCCAAGCUGAUGUCAUCCUGGAGACGGCUCUCACCCUGACUUGGCAGCACACUUCUUGCCUAAUCCCAAGGUCAACAGGAAAAACCCUUUGGUAGCCAGCUUGCUAUUUUGAUUCUUAACUAUCCUCUUCAUCAACCUGACAAAGUGUUUUAACUGGUGAUGAUUUUCAUAAGAAAGCUGAAUUCGCACCUGGGGAUUUCAUGCAGAUUUUAGUAAAAAAGCACAUUCUGACCUGGCUGGGAGGUGUACACCCCGAGACCUGGGAGUUAAGGUCGAAAUGCCGUCCAUUCUCCUUAUCUGAAAACGGCCUCUCAUUGUGGAAAGAUUAACAACCUUGUUGCGGAAACAAUGGAGUCCCAGGUUGCCACCACCUAGAGGCACUGCCCUUUGCAACCCCCCAGCCCGCAUUGCCUGUAACCUGUAACCACUAUACCCAUUCCUGUCAUACUUCCCCAUGCAAUCCUUGUCCUUCUGCCCAAUAUAAGAAGUUUAUGGGGGAGUGGGGAAGAGCAGAUUUUUGUGUGGAUGACCUGUGGCUCUCCCAUGUUGCUGGCAAUAUUGGAAAAUAAAGCACUCAUAUACGAUUCAACCCUGUCUCUGCUUAAUUGACUCAAGUAGUGGCACGUAGCCUGGACCCAUUCGUUGUCCGGUUUCACCUUUAAUCAAUAUACUAUUUACUGACUAUUAUUAUUUUUACUAUCACUUAACCUUUAAAAUCUAUACUAAUUUCCUUGCCAUUCUACAUUUCUCAAGGAAGGGAAAAAACAAUCUGUCCUUACUUUGCAUA